UCCCGGUUGGCCCGGGCAGUUUCGCCUGAUAUAUACAACAGACGACAAGGGUUUCGCUCGUUGAUGGACUUAACCAAACAUCUCACGACACGAGCUGAGGACGGCCAUGCAACACCUGUCACUAGGUUCCCGAAGGCACAGCACCAUUUCUGGCGCCUUCCUAGGAUGUCAAGCCUUGGUAAGGUUCUUCGCGUAGCUUCGAAUUAAACCACAUGCUCCACCGCUUGUGCGGGUCCCCGUCAAUUCCUUUGAGUUUUAAUCUUGCGAUCGUACUCCCCAGGCGGGAUGCUUAACGCGUUAGCUUCUCAGCACAAAGGGUCGAUACUUCAUACUAAUAGCAUCCAUCGUUUACGGCGUGGACUAC
rnacentral:misc_RNA from 1 species